GCGGCGGCCGAGGCUCGGGGUGAGUGAGGGGCGGCAGGGCUCUGAGCCUGGCGGGUUCCGGCUAUUCCCUUCGCGGUCCAGUUUAGUCCACUGCGAGGGCACCUGCAGCGCCGGGAUCUGAGUGCGAAACUCCGAGCGGAAGCUGGUCUGGCAGUUACUCGGGAGGCUGAGGCAGGAGAAUCGCUUGAACCGGAGAGGCGGACGUUGCAGUGAGCCGAGGUCAAACCAGUGCACUCCAGCCUGGGCAACAGAGCGAGACUCCAUCUGAAAAAGAAACAAAAAGAAAAAAAAA
ensembl:lncRNA novel transcript